AAAAUAAAAAUGCCAAGUUUUCACUUUUCCUUCAAGCAUUGACAGAAAUUCUUAUAAAAUUCCUUCAUGUAUAAAUCAUCAUGUCGAUUCGUCAAGACUUCUUUACAAUCUUUAGAAAAUGUCUGCACAAAUUCUUUAAUGAGUUAUUGAUUUGAUAAAGUUGUGAAUAAAAGAAGCAACAACAACAAACAUAAAAAUUAAACAAUAUCAAUUACAAAGCCCCAAAGGAACAGGCGGCACGCGGAACGAAGGAACAAGAACAAUGAAAACGAAACCAAUGAAGGCAAUGGCCGCAAACAACGCGACGUCAGCUGCUGCGUAGGCGUUGACGUUGACUUUGACGUCGGCAUCGCAGCUGACGUUGCAGCCGGCGUUGGCAGCAUGCUGCGUUAAUUCGUUUUUAAUAAAGCAAAACCCUAUAUUCAAUGCCAGGCCCAGUCAGAGGCCCGGCCCGGCGAUAUGCUCCAUAUCGCUUUAAUCCACAAAAACUGAUCGCUGCCUUUGAGGUGCGGUCAUCUGGGCAACUUCCGGGCUUUAACUACACUUUCAUUCAUUCGCAAUCUUCGAGUAACUGGGCCAACUGCUUCCACUUGAUUAAUUGCUGCGAUACUGCGAGAGUGUGUAAAUAUUUUGGAUAUGUGGCCGGGGCACGACCUGUGAUCGAGAAAUUUGACUCGUGCCAAGCAGAAAAUAAUUUUUACGUCUGUCAACUUUGAUUUAGCUGCUCAUUCAUCAAACGCAACGCGAAACCCGUUCCAAAAAAAAAAAAAAAAAACACAAAAAUCUCUCCUCAACCGGCGUUAAAUUUCUUUAGCAACAUUGUGGGUAAAACAUUAUCAAAUGACAAUAAAUUCAUAUUUUCUUGGCCCUAA